CGACCGGGGAGACCUCAGUGUCUCCUCUCCUUCGGGAGAACGGAAGGACGCCUGCAGCCUACGCUGAGCGUGAUGUGAGUGAGAUCUAAAAAAGAAGCGCCCUCAGAGCUCAGAAGGAUGCUGCUGGGAUGAUGGGAAGAAAUGAGCCAAAUCAAUAAGAGUAUUGCAGCAAACAUGAACAAAUGUUCUGCCCUCAGAAUGUGCAGAACCACCUGUAACCUCACAUGGCAGAGAACCAAACGACAGCGUUAGUGGAGUGGUCACGAUUUCGGGUGUUCUCACUCUUCUUGGCUCCUUACAGCAGGAUCGAUCUUUGAACUAAGUCUGUAGUGUUCCUGCCCAAGUAGGAUGAUUGGGGGAGGCUCUGGGAAAUAAGGGAACUUCCUGUCACUGGGGGCAGGUGGGUGCUCCAGCAAUAAACUGAAUAAAUAAAAA